AGGACGAACGCUGGCGGAGUGCUUAACACAUGCAAGUCGAGCGGAAAGGCCCUUCGGGGUACUCGAGCGGCGAACGGGUGAGUAACACGUGAGUAACCUGCCCCUAGCUCUGGGAUAGCUCCGGGAAACCGGGAUUAAUACCAGAUACGACCACUUUAGACAUCUGUCGUGGUGGAAAGGAUUCCGGCUAGGGAUGGGCUCGCGGCCUAUCAGCUUGUUGGUGGGGUAACGGCCUACCAAGGCGACGACGGGUA
rnacentral:rRNA from 1 species